UAGCGGCGGACGGGUGAAGUAACACGUGGGUAACCUGCCUGUAAGACUGGGAUAACUCCGGGAAUACCGGGGCUAAUACCGGAUGGUUGUUUGAACCGCAUGGUUCAAACAUAAAAGGUGGCUUCGGCUACCACUUACAGAUGGACCCGCGGCGCAUUAGCUAGUUGGUGAGGUAACGGCUCACCAAGGCAACGAUGCGUAGCCGACCUGAGAGGGUGAUCGGCCACACUGGGACUGAGACACGGCCCAGACUCCUACGGGAGGCAGCAGUAGGGAAUCUUCCGCAAUGGACGAAAGUCUGACGGAGCAACGCCGCGUGAGUGAUGAAGGUUUUCGGAUCGUAAAGCUCUGUUGUUAGGGAAGAACAAGUACCGUUCGAAUAGGGCGGUACCUUGACGGUACCUAACCAGAAAGCCACGGCUAACUACGUGCCAGCAG
rnacentral:rRNA from 1 species